GUAUUUUGUUGGUCGGCGGGCGGGGGCGCGCCUUUUUUGCCCUUUUUUCGCGCGCGCACCCAAUCGGCAGUUGUAAUUGAAAACUACACACGAAGGCCGAAGGCAGGGCCGAGAGAGCGCUGAAAAAGAGAAGGUCCUGCCAAAUUUUCCCGCUCUCACCCAAACACACACUCACGAGUGGCAGUUGGCCGCAAGGUACAAUAAAUCAUGAGGUGCACUCAACUCUGGCUCUAAGUAUCCGACUCAAGUAACAAUGCGAAAAGUGGCUUACCUGUCCCUCACCAAUAGUGCUAUACCCUGCGUCCGCCUGUACAUAUUGUCUCGAAGAGAGAAGGCAAAGAGAGAGAGAGGGAGAGAGAGGGUGGAAAACAACCAAACCAUCCUUUUGAAUAUUUCUACGAUGGUUGGCCCGUCGUCGUUCCGUUCUCUGUGUGGUUGUAAAAAGGCGAAAACGUCACGAGAAAAACCGGUUAAUAAAUUAUUGCUAAUCGAACGGAAACUUGAAGGUUUACAAAACAAAACAGACCACAACAGAUGCUCUUAUUGAUCAUAUACGAAUUAUAAUCAAACUGUUAUUUUUGAUGACCGGCAAAGUAUAUUAAUACGGUUUGUUCUUCUUCAGUUUUGUAAAAGGACAACGGAGGCGGCACUCAAAACCCAGAAAGAAGCCAGAGACACAAGAUCCUAUAUCCUGGUCAAAAUGGCCAAGGAAAAUUGUAUCAAAACAUGUCCAAUAAAUGCUAUAGAAUUAAGUGCAAAACAAAGGCUAACAAAACAAAAUUCAAUUUCUAUCAAAUUAAUUAGUUUUACAGAAAAAUGAGGGGGAACAAAAUAAAAGUGUAUUGCUUUUCUAGAAAUUCACAUUCGUUUUUUUCAUUUCCCGCAGUGCUAGCCCAAAGGGUUUCGGCUUGGGCCUCCAUCAAUCCACCCAUCCAUCGCGGGGUUACAACUGCCUGCACAUUUUGGAAAAUUCAACUUGGAAUGAUGACUUUUGGGUUUUGGUGUGAGUCUGCAUGUCGCUUUCUUUCUUCGUCGGGAGGGGUUUUGGGUGUGCGGCUGGGGGGGAAAUUUGUGGCAUGUGUGGUUUCGGUGUGUAUGGGGUGUGUGUUGGUGAGGCGCGCCAAAUCGG